CCUACGGGGGGCAGCAGUAGGGAAUUUUCCACAAUGGGCGAAAGCCUGAUGGAGCAACGCCGCGUGCAGGAUGAAUGCCUUAGGGUUGUAAACUGCUUUUAUAUGUGACGCGGUAGCAUAUGAAUAAGGAUCGGCUAACUCCGUGCCAGCAGCCGCGGUCAUACGGAGGAUCCAAGCGUUAUCCGGAAUUACUGGGCGUAAAGAGUGCGUAGGUGGCAUAGUAAGCGAGUAGUGAAAGCGUGUGGCUCAACCAUACAUCCAUUACUUGAACUGCUAAGCUAGAGUAUGAGAGAGGUAGAUGGAAUUCCCUGUGUAGGAGUGAAAUCCGUAGAUAUAGGGAGGAACACCGAUGGCGUAGGCAGUCUACUGGCUCAUACUGACACUAAGGCACGAAAGCGUGGGUAGCAAACGGGAUUAGAUACCCUUGUAGUC
rnacentral:rRNA from 1 species